rnacentral:rRNA from 1 species
UACGAAGGGGGCUAGCGUUGUUCGGAAUUACUGAGCGUAAAGCGCACGUAGGCGGAUAUUUAAGUCAGGGGUGAAAUCCCAGAGCUCAACUCUGGAACUGCCUUUGAUACUGGGUAUCUGGAGUAUGGAAGAGGUGAGUGGAAUUCCGAGUGUAGAGGUGAAAUUCGUAGAUAUUCGCAAGAACACCAGUGGCGAAGGCGGCUCACUGGCCCGAUACUGACGCUGAGGCACGAAAGCGUGGGGAGCAAACAGG